GGCCCCGUAGUGUAGCGGUUAACACGCCGGCCUGUCAAGCCGGAGAUCGCGGGUUCGAACCCCGUCGGGGUCG
rnacentral:tRNA from 1 species